GCCCGGUUAGCUCAAUCGGUAGAGCGUGAGACUCUUACGACCUAGGUCAUCUCAAGGUUGCGGGUUCGACCCCCGCAUCGGGCU
rnacentral:tRNA from 2 species